rnacentral:lncRNA from 1 species
NNNNNNNNNNNNNNNNNNNNNNNNNNNNNNNNNNNNNNNNNNNUCCCAGUAUAUCCCAGUCCCCUCCCAAUUCCCUCCCAGUCCCUCCCAGUAGCUCCCAGUGGUCCCAGUCCAUCCCAGUCCAUCCCAGUCCAUCCCAGUCCAUCCCAGUCCCUCCCAGUCCCUCCCAGUAACCUCCCCCAGUCCCUCCCAGUGCUCCCAGUACAAAGCCCCUUUGUCCCAGUCCCUCCCAGUAACAAAGCUCCUCUAUCCCAGUCCCUCCCAGUCCCUCCCAGUACAGAGCCCCUCUGUCCCAGUCCCUCCCAGUAACAAAGCCCCCUUGUCCCAGUGUCCCCCCAGUGCUCCCCAGUUCCUCCCAGUCCAUCCCAGUAACAAAGCUCCUCUGUCCCAGUCCCUCCCACUACAAAGCGCCCUUGUCCCAGUGACCCCCAGUCCCUCUCAGUUACAGCUCCAGUCCCUCCCAGUCCCUCCCAGUAUAACCCAGUCCCUCCCAGUAUAUCCCAGUCCCUCCCAGUAUAUCCCAGUCCAUCCCAGUAUAUCCCAGUACAAAGCCGCUCCAUCCCAGUCCCUCCCAGUAUAUCCCAGUCCAUCCCAGUAUAGCCCAGUCCCUCCCAGUGCUCCCAGUAACAGCUCCAGUCCCUCCCAGUGCUCCCAGUUACAGCUCCCAUUCCCUCCCAGUCCCUCCCAGUACAUCCCAGUCCAUCCCAGUACAAAGCCCCUCUAUCCCAGUCCCCUCCCAUUCCGUCCCAGUAUAACCCAGUCCCCUCCCAGUCCCUCCCAGUAUAUCCCAGUACAAAGCCGCUCCAUCCCAGUCCCUCCCAGUAUAUCCCAGUCCCUCCCAGUUUAACCCAGUUCCCUCCCAGUAUAACCCAGUCCCUCCCAGUCGCUCCCAGUCCCUCCCAGUCCCUCCCAGUAUAUCCCAGUCCCUCCCAGUCGCUCCCAGUUUAUCCCAGUCCCUCCCAGUCCAUCCCAGUCCCUUCCAGUAUAUCCCAGUCCCUCCCAGUCCCUCCCAGUUUAUCCCAGUCCGAAGCCGCUCUAUCCCAGUCC